rnacentral:lncRNA from 1 species
GUUUCCUGAGGCCUCCCCAGCCAUGCAGAACUGAAGUUUCACAUCACUAGAGAAGAGAGAAGAAGGACAUUUGUACUGGGAGGAGUCGACCGGUCCCAGUAAGGAGAAAGUAGCUACAGCGUCAUGGGUGAGCUGGGUCCCCCAAAAAGGAACUUUAAGGGAAUGGACUGAAUCAAGUCUGAGAUGUCCCCAAAGCAAGACCAAAGAACUGAGGAAGAGAAGCAUUCAUCAGAAACCAAAAUUCAGCUACAAGUGAGCAUCCAGAUGGAGGUAUUAUGAAGAGGAACUGAGACUGAGGGCAAAAGGUGCCAGCCAGAAUCCUGGAUAGGAGAGCAAGAACCAGGACCUCAUUUAAGAGACAACCUGCUUAAGGCAGAGUAAGCACAAAUGGGCACUCAACAUCAAUGAAGUAACAGCAAAGUCACAUAAUAAAAGCAUGGAAUUAAGACAAGCUGAAGAUUCGGAUGCAAUAAAACAACCACCCAUUAUUA